AGGCCGAGCGGGGUCCCGCCGGGGGGCAGCGCCGCGGAGCCGGGGGGCGGCGGCGGCAGGCUGGGGAAGGCGGCGGCCGCGGCGGCGGCGGCGGUCCAGGCGGAGUCUAGAGCUGGGUGAUGAGGAGGGAAAGGACUAGCAUCAAGGAAGACAAACUGGUGAUCAGGCAGGGAGCAGAACCAGACAGAAGGAAUUUUGUAUGCUUUUCCACAUUUUUGCAAAGGAAAACAAAAGGAACAGGUGUCCAGGGAGAACCAUGAAGUGCUAUGAAAAAGAAGAAUAUGAAUACAACAGCAGGGACUUAGGAACCUUCUGAUUUACAGGCUGACAAGUGCAGUCUGGGUCCAAAGACCAACAAAUUCACAGUUGGAGACCCUGAGCUGCACCACAAGGCCUUUAUUCUUUCACAGCUUCCCAGUGAUAUCCUUGGGCUCCUGAUGGGGGAAGGACCCUGGCUCUGACCCUGUGGCACCAACCAUCACUGAGGUGGAAAUCAGUGGCUUUGAGCUGCACAGGUGAAGAAGCAGCUCCCACAGCCCUUUGCAAAAUGGUUGGAUGGAAAUUAUUCUGAAAAAAAUUUUAGGAUGGCUCUGUGAGAUGGACCACGAGUGGAAUUGUAGGAACACACUUCCAAGACCCUCCAAUGGUUUAAGGAAAAACGAAAAAAAAAAAAAAAAUCCCCCUGUGAAAUAUAAACAGCCUUCAUGCCAGAGUAGCCUUUGUUCCACCAGUAAUAGAGCUGGAUAAGGCUCAGUUUAGUGGCUCCAGACACAGCUAAGUAAUAAAUGAUUGGUCCCUACCUGCAAGGUGCAUUGCAGAGCUUAAUCGCUUGCUCGCUUCCCCAUGACCACUGAUCUCAGGAUAAAAGACUUUUAACACAGCCAACACGGCGAGCUGAGCAGCAGCAGCCUCUGGGAACUUUUGUCUACCUGUCAAAAUCCAAGAAGGUUCAACAUUAAGUAAAACGAAAAAAAUCUCCUGAAGAAAACUUGUGUGAGUUGAAUAAUAUUUCUAUUAAAAACAACAGCAGCACGUAAUGCAAUUUUGAUGUGUUUUCUACCUAGACAAGAAACCUGCCAUGUAAGCCAGCCACCAGUGUGGAGACAAGAGAGGACAUAUUUUGUGGUGUGUCAGAAAGAGAUGUGUAAUCAAUAUCUUCACACCUUUCAGUGUCAGUAAAACAUGCAAGAGCAAGAAAGCCUGGGAAAGAAAAGAGAUAUAAGCGUUAUAAUGUAGGAAUAUCUUAGAAGUAUGUAUAAAACUUGUCAUCACAUAUUCUUUGAGUCUAAAAUAUUGGGAUCUGAGGAAAGAUGUAGCAUAAAUCUCCUCCUUGGUACAAAAGGGUGGGCACAAGGGGACAUUGAUGCUGGAAAAAACACUCUGCAUAGGCAAGGUAUGUAUUUAAGCAUAAAAAUGGGGAUAUGCUUCAAAACCCACGUUUUAUUUUUUCCUUUCCACAUCUUGGGUGUCUUGCAUUUUAUGUCAGACAGUCUUGAUGCCUCCUACUCUACAUUUGGGGCUCGCAGGAUCUGUCCCCUCUUGCCUGUGGGAGCGUGUCCCACCACCACAGAUCCACAGACAGCACUGGUGCCUGGCUAAGCACAUGCUGGUCUCCUGAGAGCUGGAAGAAGGGAGUGUGGGUGUUCAGAUCCAGCUGGGAAAGGCAGGCAUGCUGGGGUCAGACUGGGAGAUGGAGUACACAUUGCAUCAUGGAAAUGGAAGGUGAGGGUCUGUCUGCUCUCCUUUCUCUUUGGACAUGCUUGUGGCACAGAAAAUGAUAACUUUUCACAGCUGAAGGCCAAUACAGAAAAUUCUUACUUUGCCCCUUGCAAAAGCAGAGCCUCCUGGCUAGGUAUCCAAAUCCCAGGGAACCCAGUCAGCUUCAAGGGCCAGGUCUUGAAUGAAUAUGUGCUGCAAAUGGCUGGAUGGGAAGUUACAAACUGCCGAUUACUGGCAUGACUUAUUCAGCAACCCUUGAGAAGAUAUUUGAACAAUUGGAGAAGUUGGUGAUUUGCUCGCUCACAGUGGGACCAUGGGGUGCAAUUCAGCCAGUGACUUAUUACAAUGAAUCAUCUGGGGCUGGAGUGGGGACAUUUUGCUCAAUGCUUCUCUGCUGGCAGGAGCUAAAAAAUGGAAAAUCAGAACAGGCAAAACCUGUCUCUGCUGCGUGGGGCAAUGUCCAACCUCAGUCACCCUCCCUUGUACUUGGGAAAGUCAUGCUGGAGUCAGGAAUGAAGUAGCUGUAGAAGCAGCAAUGUGUGACCUGGGGUAGGGUGCCAGCCCAUUCCCCUGGGAGCUGACCAUGGUUUCAGAAACACUCCUGCUUAAUGGGUGGUACCAGGCAGAUGUGGCAAAAAGAGUUUUUAUUUCCAACAUUUUCCAGUGAAGAAAAAAAAUCAAACAUAAGUUCUUCUCUUCCACCUAAUAAAUGCUGAGCGUUUUCACCCAAGUGUUGGGGACUCAAGGCUCUCAAAAUAGGUGGAAAGGAAAGCUAAGAAGGGGUUUCAAAUUAUUUUCUCUAACAGAAUAAGAAUGAAACCCUGAUGCCAUCAAAGGUAAUAAUUCAGGAUUUCCCUCAGGGAGGUGAAAGUCAUUGUCGUGUUUUUAAAAUAGUUGCAAUUUUCUGUCUCUAAAUAGCACAGACUACAAAAUGUAUU